rnacentral:rRNA from 1 species
UACAGAGGGUGCAAGCGUUGUUCGGAUUUACUGGGCGUAAAGCGUGCGUAGGCGGUAUUGAGAGUCGCGGGUGAAAUCCCAGGGCUUAACCCUGGAACUGCCUGCGAGACCUCAGUACUAGAGUAUGAGAGGGGAUGGUGGAAUGCCAAGUGUAGCGGUGAAAUGCGUAGAGAUUUGGCGGAACACCGGUGGCGAAGGCGACCAUCUGGCUCAUAACUGACGCUCAGGCACGAAAGCAUGGGGAGCAAACAGG